UACAGAGAUCUCAAGCGUUAUCCGGAAUCAUUGGGCGUAAAGCGUACCGAUAGGUGGUCAUGAUAGUUUUGGGUAAAAGCCUGGAGCUCAACUCCAGAGUUUGCUCAAAAUACUUCACGACUAGAGGGGCAAAUAGGAAGCUGGAACGAACGGUGUAGUAGUGAAAUGCGUUGAUAUCGUUCGGAACACCGAAAGCGAAGGCAGGCUUCUGGGUGCCACCUGACACUGCUAGGACGAAAGCGUGGGGAGCGAAGUGGG
rnacentral:rRNA from 1 species